rnacentral:rRNA from 1 species
CCCUUAGUUGUUCUGGGCCGCACGCGCGCUACACUGAUGCAUUCAACGAGCCUAUCCUUGACCGACAGGUCCGGGUAAUCUUUGAAUCUGCAUCGUGACGGGGAUAGAUUAUUGCAAUUAUUAAUCUUCAACGAGGAAUGCCUAGUAGGCGCAAGUCAUCAGCUUGCGUCGAUUACGUCCCUGCCCUUUGUACACACCGCCCGUCGCUCCUACCGAUUGGGUGUGCUGGUGAAAUGUUCGGAUCGGCCGUUUGUCGCGGUUUCCGCGUCAUGUGGCUGAGAAGUUCAUUAAACCCUCCCACCUAGAGGAAGGAGAAGUCGUAACA